rnacentral:rRNA from 1 species
AACGAACGCUGGCGGCGUACUUAACACAUGCAAGUCGGACGAGAAAGGAGACUUCGGUCUCUGAGUACAGUGGCGCACGGGUGCGUAACACGUAAGUAAUCUACCCCGAACUCUGGGAUAACCCUCCGAAAGGAGGGCUAAUACUGGAUAGGGUCCCCGAGGUGUAGGCUGCGGGGGGAAAACGGGCCUCUGUUUCAUGCUCGUGGUUUGAGAUGAGCUUGCGGCCCAUUAGCUAGUUGGUAAGGUAAUGGCUUACCAAGGGAACGAUGGGUAGCUGGUCUGAGAGGAUGAUCAGCCACACUGGCACUGAGAAACGGGCCAGACUCCUACGGGAGGCAGCAGUGGGGAAUUUUGCGCAAUGGGCGAAAGCCUGACGCAGUAACGCCGCGUGGAGGAUGAAGGCCUUCGGGUUGUAAACUCCUGUCAGGAGGAACGACGGGGAAGGGGUGAUAAACCCUUUCCUCCAGACGGUACCUCCAAAGGAAGCCCCGGCUAAUUC